rnacentral:tRNA from 1 species
GGCGGCAUAGCCAAGUGGCUAAGGCAACGGUCUGCAAAACCGUUAUUCACCAGUUCGAAUCUGGUUGCCGCCUCCA